CCUACGGGAGGCAGCAGUGAGGAAUAUUGGUCAAUGGGCGCGAGCCUGAACCAGCCAAGUCGCGUGAGGGAAGACGGUCCUAUGGAUUGUAAACCUCUUUUGUCGGGGAGCAAAAGACGCCACGCGUGGCGUUCCGAGAGUACCCGAAGAAAAAGCAUCGGCAAACUCCGUGCCCGCAGCCCCGGUAAUCCGGGGGAUGCGAGCGUUAUCCGGAUUGAUUGGGUUUAAAGGGUGCGAAGGGGGAAGAUCAAGUCAGUGGGAAAAUUAAGGGGCCCAACCCCUUCGAGCCGUUGAAACUGGUGUUCUUGAGUGAGCGAGAAGUAUGCGGAAUGCGUGGUGUAGCGGUGAAAUGCAUAGAUAUCACGCAGAACUCCGAUUGCGAAGGCAGCAUACCGGCGCUCAACUGACGCUCAUGCACGAAAGUGUGGGUAUCGAACAGGAUUAGAUACCCCAGUAGUC
rnacentral:rRNA from 1 species